rnacentral:piRNA from 1 species
UAGUGACCAAGGUCAAGGUUGUGAUGCGC